rnacentral:misc_RNA from 1 species
GAUGAAGAACGUAGCGAAAUGCGAUAAGUAAUGUGAAUUGCAGAAUUCAGUGAAUCAUCGAAUCUUUGAACGCACAUUGCGCCCGCUAGUAUUCUGGCGGGCAUGCCUGUCCGAGCGUCAUUUCAACCCUCAAGCCCCCGGGCUUGGUGUUGGGGAUCGGCGAGCCUCCGCGCCCGCCGUCCCCUAAAUCUAGUGGCGGUCUCGCUGUAGCUUCCUCUGCGUAGUAGCACACCUCGCACUGGGAAACAGCGCGGCCACGCCGUUAAACCCCCAACUUCUGAACGUUUGACCUCGGCUCAGGUAGGAAUACCCGCUGAACUUAAGCAUAUCAAUAAGCGGAGGA